rnacentral:lncRNA from 1 species
AAAACAGGGGGUGGGGCCAGGUGCCCUAUGCUAAUAUCCGAGGGAGGCGGCGGCGCCUGCGUACCCGGAGGACAGCGGGCAGGCCUUGUCGAUACACACGCGUGCGCGGCCUCCUGUGGGCGGGGCCUGAACCUAGGGGAGGAGCGAAGACUAGGAACUGGUGCGGGAGAGAAGCCGGAGCACCCUUGCAUCACGAAGGAGGGCGGUGCUCUGCCUUAUAAGAGUGGGCGUAGCUGUUCAGUGAACUCACUCUGUGAGGGCGUUGAACGUGUAUGUAAAUGAAAGGCGGGUUUAUGUAACUGCAUAUGCAUAAGGGGUGGGGCCUAACAGGGUGCUGCUCCCCACCCCACCCCAUUAUGUUGAUGGGACACUUGACAGAUUUGGUAGAUCAGCACCCCUGAGGACCCUCAAGUGGAGAAGCAGACCUAAAACAUGCAAGUAGCCCUGGUUUGCGAGUUCCUCAAAGGCAGAGGAUUCAAAUUCCAUGCAGAUGAGGUUGAGCUUGGGUUCGAGGGACCGGAAAGGAUUUGCCCUCUUCGUCGAAGUCCUCGCAGACGUCGGAUACCGACACAUUCGCUGUGGACAUCGUGGCCGUGCUCCAUAGGUCACGAACAUCUCCGUACAGGCUGGAUCUGACCGAGCUGCGGCGAUGGUUUGCGUGUUUGGGCACCGGCUGCGGGUCACACACAGGUAAGGUAGCCAAGGAAUUCAGGGAGCUGGAGGGAGCAGGGAGACUGGACUGGGAUUGGGGACUCUAGGAGAGCUGCCAAGCCCCCAGGCUGAAUGGCAGGUUACUCUAAAGACCUGAAGGAGUACUAAGGUUCGUCUGGGCUUGGGGAACU